GACGAACGCUGGCGGCGUGCUUAACACAUGCAAGUCGAACGUGAUUUUUGUGGAAAGCCCUUCGGAGACGGAAGCGAAAUGAAAGUGGCGAACGGGUGAGUAACACGUGAGCAACUUACCUUACACAGGGGGAUAGCCGUUGGAAACGACAAUUAAUACCGCAUGAGACCACAAAGCCACAUGGCUUAGGGGUAAAAGAUUUAUCGGUGUAAGAUGGGCUCGCGUCUGAUUAGCUAGUUGGAAGGGUAAAGGCCUACCAAGGCAACGAUCAGUAGCCGGUCUGAGAGGAUGAACGGCCACAUUGGAACUGAGACACGGUCCAAACUCCUACGGGAGGCAGCAGUGGGGAAUAUUGCACAAUGGGGGGAACCCUGAUGCAGCGACGCCGCGUGAGCGAAGAAGGUUUUCGAAUCGUAAAGCUCUGU
rnacentral:rRNA from 1 species